rnacentral:rRNA from 1 species
AGCAGUGGGGAAUAUUGCACAAUGGGCGCAAGCCUGAUGCAGCCAUGCCGCGUGUAUGAAGAAGGCUUCGGGUUGUAAAGUACUUUCAGCAGUGAGGAAGGUGGAUAUGUUAAUAGCAUAUUCAUUUGACGUUAGCUGCAGAAGAAGCACCGGCUAACUCCGUGCCAGCAGCCGCGGUAAUACGGAGGGUGCGAGCGUUAAUCGGAAUUACUGGGCGUAAAGCGCAUGCAGGUGGUUUGUUAAGUCAGAUGUGAAAGCCCGGGGCUCAACCUCGGAAUUGCAUUUGAAACUGGCAAACUAGAGUACUGUAGAGGGGGUAGAAUUUCAGGUGUAGCGGUGAAAUGCGUAGAGAUCUGAAGGAAUACCGGUGGCGAAGGCGGCCCCCUGGACAGAUACUGACACUCAGAUGCGAAAGCGUGGGGAGCAAACAGGAUUAGUACCCUGGUAG